AUUAACUUUUUAUACGACCGCAAAAAAAUUUUUGUGGUCGUAUAUUGGUAUGACGUUGGCGUCGUCGUCGUCGUCAGGCGUCGUCCGGCGUCGUCCGAAGACACAUUGGUUUUCGCACUCUAACUUUAGUUUAAGUGAAUGGAUCUUUAUGAAAUUUUACCACAAGGUUCAAUACCACAAAAGGAAGGUUGGGAUUGAUUUUGGGGGUUAUGGUAAUAACAGUAAAGGAAUUAGGGGCCAAAAAGGGGCCAAAAAUAAGCAUUUUUGUAACUUCCAGACAUAACUUGUGUGUUAGUGUAUGGAUCUCUCUGACAUUGUACCACAAGGUUCCAUAUCACUUAAAGGAAUGCUGGGAUUGAUUUUGGGGGUAAUUGCCUCCAAAUUUUAGGAAUUAGGGGCCAAAAAAGGGGCAAAAAACAAGCAUUUUUCUAGUUUCAUGACAAUAACUUGUGUUUAAGUGUAUGGAUCUUUCUGAAAUUGUACUACAAGGUUCCAUAUCACAAAGGGAAAGCUGGGUUUGAGUUUGGGGGUAAUUGCCCUAAACGUUUAGGAAUUUGGGGCCAAAAAGGGGCAAAAAAAACACAUUUUUUUCUAGUUUCCAGACAAUAACUUGUGUUCAAGUGUAUGGAUCUCUCUGAAAUUGUACUGCAAGGUACCAUACCACAAAGGGAAGGCUGGGAUUGAGUUUGGGGGUGAUGAAUCAUAAUGGGGGUUCAAAAAAUUUUGGGGGGGGAUUUAUUUUUUUUUCAUUUUUUUUCUUUUUUUCCUUUUUUGUUUCUUUUAAAAUUUUCCAUUUUAAGUUGGUUAUUUCUGAUUUAUAUUUAAAAUCAAAUAAUAAUGAUAUGGUAGGAGAUACACACCAAACAGGAUGUGUAAAUUAUUAUAUAAUAAGUAUUGUGCAAUAGCAAGAAAUUUUCAAUUGCACAGUAUUGCACAAUAGCAAGAAAUCUUCAAUUGCACAGUAUUGCGCAAUAGCAAGAAAUCUUCAAUUGCACAGUAUUGUGCAAUAGCAAGAAAUAUCCAAUAGCACAAUAUUGCGCAAUAGCAAGAAAUUGUCAAUUGUACAGUAUUGCGCAAUAGCAAGAAAUAUUUAAUAGCACAGGAUUGUGCAAAAGAAGAUACUUGCUAUAAAUUGCUUAUUUCUUGACCAAUUUCAAUGGGGUUUUAUUCUUGAUUUCAUGGGGUUCUUUAAUAUGCUGAAUCUAACCGUGUAUUUAGUUUUUGGAUUUUGGGCCCCGUUUUUAAAUUGGUCCACAUUGAGGUCCAAAGGGUCCAAAAUUAAACUUUGUUUGAUUUCAUCAAAAAUUGAAUUAUUGGGGUUCUUUGAUAUGCCGAAUCUAACCGUGUAUUUAGAUUCUUAAAUUUUGGUUCCGUUUUCAAAUUGGUCUACAUUAAGGUCCAAAGGGUCCAAAAUUAAACUUAGUUUGAUUUUAACAAAAAUUGAAUUCUUAGGGUUCUUUGAUAUGCUGAAUCUAAACAUGUAUUUAGAUUUUUGAUUAUGGGCCCAGUUUUCAAGUUGGUCCAAAUCAGGGUCCAAAAUUAAACUUUGUUUGAUUUCAACAAAAAUUGAAUAUAUGGGGUUCUUUGAUAUGCUGAAUCUAACGAUGUAUUUAGAUUUUUGAUUUUUGGGCCCCGUUAUCAACUUUGUCCACAUUGAGGUCAAAAGGGUCCAAAAUUAAACUUUGUUUGAUUUCAUCAAAAAUUGAAUUCUUGGGGUUCUUUGAUAUGCUGAAUCUAACCAUGUAUUUAGAUUUUGGAUAUUGGACCAUAAUAGGUGAAUGUCCAAUUUAA